UGCCCGGUGGUCUAAUGGCAGGACAGCGGCCUUUGGAGCCGUCGGUGAAGGUUCGAAUCCUUCCCGGGCAACAA
rnacentral:tRNA from 1 species